AUGUCAGGCUUCAAGGGGUAAACUACAGUUCCCAGGAUAUAUAUUUUUUUGGGGGGGGGGAGAGAUCUGCUUUGAAUUUGCUUUAAAUGCAUGGUAUGUAUGCACCCUUACAUAUGGAAACUGGAAGGAUGAACACCCACCAUCAAUUAUACAAUGAGCCAAGGACCUUACUGCCUUUGCUACUUUUGAAUUGUUUCCCCCCCUGAUAAACAUCAAUUUUAUUUGUAUAUAUAUCAGAGCAUCUGGAUGGCAAAUACUGACUUACAUGUUUAAACCAAGGUGGAUAUACUAAUGGUCAUUGUAUUAUUAAUGUGAACUGAUGUUUUCCUUGGCUUUUUAUUUUCUUUUUUUCUUGUCCUUCCUUUUGUUUGUUUGUUAAACUUGCUAUAAAAUUGAAUAAGAAAAAGUUAAAUAGAAAUAUAUUACCUCUUUAGAAGACCUUGUGUUCUGUCCUGGUAACCCCCCCCCUCAUUAAUGUACUGUAUUAUUGUAAGGCCCAUCCUACUGUCCCUUCCUGUGUUCAUUUAUUUCUUUAUUUGCUGUUAAACUAGGCAGACUUUCAAAGAGAGGGCUGUCCUCUGUACAGAAGGACACUGCACCACCCUGGCUAUCAAUAUUUAGAAAUGGCAAAGUAGGGAUCAAACUGGGGGCAGCAGUGUCUGAAGUGGCUUGGCAUCAGGCAAUGCAAAACAUCUCCAGUACAUGAGAACAGUUGGAGCGUUAGCAGUUUCUGAUGGUGUAAAUCUAAUUCUCUUGACCAACCUGCUUGGCAGAUUGUAUCUGUAUUGCAAUUUGCUUAUCAGCUUCCCCACCCCCUUGAUUCCUUGAGUUUCAGCCAGUCGGCUAAUUAAGAGCAAAUGUUCGUUUCAGUCAGGUAAAUAAAGGGAUGGCUUCUGAACUGAUAAUUAAAUGGCUUUUUAGAGUGGGCCAAGGGUUUUAAUGGGAGACCAGGGAGCUCUUAAGUUUCCUUUGUUUACUUCAGCCAACUGAAUAGUAUUUUAAUGAAAGCAGAGGACAGAGGAGGCUGUUUGAUAAAGCCAGGCCUUUUUUUAAGAAAAAGAAAAAUGUGGUAAUGCAUGGGCUAAAAUCAUUUGCCUGUGUGUUGUUAUAUGUGGUCAAAUUGGGUCCAUGACUGUCAUUGGUGUAGCAUCAGUCCACCACUGUGGUGCUGGCUGAAGCCACAGAUCUGUGACAUGCUAUCACAGGGCCUGGUUCCAGCAUCUCCUGAUGUCCAGUUCCUUCUGUCCUACAGAAUGGGAAUGAUGCUGCCAUUAGGGUGACUAUUUCUUCAUCACCAGGGGGAAAGGACAAACGUAGACACAGAUGUGCAUAAUAGUUGUAUGUCUGGCUGCAUACCUUUAAAUUUUAUAAUUUAAAUUAAAAUACAAGCCGUCCCACAAUAUUGCAGAUAAUUUGAUCCACGUGGCUGCUCAAUCUGAUGUCCGGGUGCAAAAAGUUGAUUGGCAAAUUCAAGGCCUCUUCCCCCCCUUCUUCUUCUGGGUCUUUAUUUUUAAAACUGGACUCGGACUGGAAUCUCUCCAAGCAAAGAACAUUUUCAUAUAGAGGACUGUAAAGUUUGACACACGGCAAAGGCCCAUGUGAUCCAGCAUCCUGUUCUCACAGUGGCCCACCAGGUGCCCCGUGGUGCCACAGAGCGGUUUUAGAGCACACCUUGCAUGGAGGUGGCCCCAGAUUCAAUUCCAAGCAUGUCCAGUUAAAAAGAUCAGGCCACAUUAUCCAGUUUAGAGAGCAACUGCCCAUUAGAGCACAGCACUAGGUGGUAUUAUCUGACCUUAUGUAAGAUGUCUGUUAAGAAAAUUACUUGAUUACUGGAUUCACAUUAGCCCUAUUCAGGCAUUAUUCACCAACCUGAGUCCUCCAGAUGUUUUUGACUACAACUCCCAUUAGGCCCAGUCAGGCUGCAGUCCAAAGUUGUAGUCAAAAAUAUUUUGAGACCCGUAGGAUGGUGAUGGAUGCAAUAUGCUAUCUGCUUUAAAAGCUACUUGUGUUGGGGACAUUGUGAUGCAUGCCCUCUUAAUCCCUGGAGGUUUCAUGUUUGAUCUUUGUGUGAAAACACAGGUGUCAGAAGCUAGCUUCUAAGGGUGCAUUCAGACAUGGGGAAUAUUGCAUUAGUUUCCCUGAUAUUAAUGCUGGCACUUCUGUCCUGUUUUCGAUGUUCCUUUCAUACUGCAGUAUCUGCUGCUUUGUGGAAUUGUGUGUGUGUGUGUGUUGUUGUUGUUGUUGUUGUUGUUGUUGUUGUUGUUGUUGUUGUUUUAAGCAAUAUACUGGCAUGGCAGGCAAAAUUUCAUUCACAGCAGAGGGUGUGGUCAUGUGACACAGCAACAAACAUCAUUCAACAACAGCACUACUCCCCCACCCUUUCUGCACAUGCAUGUUUCUGUUCCCCCAUGAAAACGGAAAGAAAGAAUUGUAUGCCAGUAUUCCAUCCAAGUUUUGUUGCUUUAUUCCUGCAAUUUUCUGGAUUAUUUGGGUUGCAAACAGGUUGUUUUUUUUUUAAGCGAUUAACAUGGAAAUGAGUGCCGAACUUCAACUAUAUUCUGCUAGGUUUUGAGAAGUGGCUUUCACAUCAUGUGAAGGACCAUAUAUAAAGUGGAAAUCAACAGUUAGAUAAAUGUCAGGGAAACAGAACAAACUGCCGUGUGAAUGCAGCCUGAGUGUGUUCCAUGCAGUUUGGAACCUUGAUAACCCAAGGUUCCUGACUAUGGGUAGGACUGUCGAUGCAUUCAGCUGGACACAUUGAAGAAGCCCCUUUUGGACCGUUGCAAUUGAAAGCAUCCCUGACAGAGAUAGGAACGUUGGGGGCUUGGGCAGGGGGGUGGGGACUUAUAGUUUUAACAUGAUGCCUAAAAUAAGUGCUGCAAAUCCUUUUUCCUGGCAUGAAGUGACAUUGUGCUGUUCCCUUGUGGGAGAAAUCUAUCUGCAAACCCAGCAUUCUGGAUCAAUCUGCACUCUGGAUGCAAACUGAAUUGAUGAAAGUUCAGCAGUCUUGACUUGCUGAUUCAGAGUGUAUGGUCUGAAUGUAUGUGUGUUCACUACGAGUCUGAGCGAAAACGCUUUAACCUAAGCUAAAGGGAGGUGGCUCUGGCAUGUUUUCUUUGCAUGGAGAUGCAUAAUGCAUAGGAUCCUGGCUGGUAACCCUUAAUACAGUUGGGCCUUGACCUGGUUUUUCUCCAGAUGGAACAGCAGCAUGAAUGUUUAAUACAGUAGUCUAUGAUGGCAGCGGAACAAAGAAAAAUGCGAAAUGAACUAUAGGAAUCUAACCACAGCACACAGCUCUGGAAUAACAUCUGUGUGUGCGUGCGCAUAUGUGAUGAUAUCUUGCCAGUGCCAUGUUUGCAUAAAGGGAUUUGUGCAUGAUGUGGUCUAUGCCUUAAGGAGGAGAAACAAAGCCUUGGUUGUGGCAGAAAGGAUAGGUGACUUCUAAAUUUGUAUCAGAAUUAUUCUCCCAUUCUAGGUCUGAGGCACUGCUAAUGUUUUCUGAGGCCCCUGAGAAUGGAGCAUUGAGCCUGACCUUAGUUCAGUGCACCUGGCUGUUAACUGCAAGGUUGGUGGUUCGAGCCCACCCAGGGAAGGCUGUGGGCAGAAUUCCUACAUUGCAAAGGGUUGCAUUAGAUGGCCUAAUUAGAUGUGCCUCCUUACGGGUACUGCUAGUGGAAAUGAGGAUUUGCUGCUUGCUUCUCUGGAUAUUUGUGGCUCUUCAAAAGGUUGCACAUUUCUUAUUUUUCAAUUAAUCUGAAAGCAAUCCCCCCCAACAUUAUUUUUGUUAUGCAUUACUGCAGAUGCAUUGCUACUUAUCAUUGAUCAGAGUCUGGAAAGGAAAAUUGUAGAACAGGUUUGAGUGACAUUGUUCCAUGCCAAGAAUUUCCACAAUUCUUUCUGGAUAAUGGAAGGGUGGCCAUCUCUCUCCCUCCCACCCCCAAUAGCAACCUGACUAAACCGUAGCAAAGGUGAGAGGAAGCAACUGAACAGUGCCAUUGCUGUCCCCUUUUGCAUAGGUGGUCUGCUUUGAUCCUCUGAACUGUUCUUCUUUCAUGUGGAAGGCAUUUGUAAAUGAAAGGAAAGAAAAGCAAGCCCUGCUUUGGAGCCAUGGCUCUUUUUGCUAAAACGUCACCUUAGAUCAGAGCUGUUUAGCUUUCCGAAACCUUUGUAGCCUGUGUUUGGAAGCACUGACACUGCAGCAAAGCCAAGAGGAUCUAGAUUGUUACUGAGCAAGAUAAAUGCUGUUAUGAUGUCUGGAGCAUAUGUGGAGGAAGGGUCUGAAUGUUCCACAGUUUUUGGGAGGGAAGGGGCUGCCAUGUAUCUCCCUGCAUUGAUACAUUGCACAUUUCUGAUGAAGUCCUGGCUAGAUGCUCUCUAUGUUGCAACAGUUAACUGCAGGCCCACUUGUUAUCUUGGGCUUAUGGACUUUGUCUACUUGUGUGCUACUUUAUGGCAGGCAUGGGCUGAUUUCUACCCUGGAAACUCUGCUUAUUAUUUGCUGGAUUCCUUGUGAUUCACUGAUGUGCGGUAAAUUUACAGUUCAUGACUGCAGGCUCAGGACUUGAGUUAAAUGAUCCUGAGUAUUCACUCUUGCUUAGGAACAACAGUGCAAUGCCAAAGGAAACCAAGUUCUGCCUAGGCCUUGUGUUCUCACAAUUUCUUUGUAAGAAAUUCCAACAUCGACUAGACCCAUCACUACUGCUUGGCAGUAGGGGAAGCCCAUCAGGAGGCUUCCCUGACAGAUGGAGGGGGCCUACUUGAGAACACUUUGUCCCUGGAGUUGCCAUUGUGGAGAAGAGCAGGUUUUUGAACUAGAACCUGUGACUCUCUAGACAUUGCUAAACUACAGCUCCCACCACCCCUGACCAUUGGCCAUGCUGGCUGGGGCUAAUGAGAACAAGAGUCCACCAACAUGUGGAGGGCCACAACUUCACCACACCUGAACUAGAUGUCACUUAUCCCUUCCAGUGUUUACUUCUCUCUUCCAGAAUAUAUCAUUCGCUGGUUCUCAUCCCCCCAUAUCAGAUAUCUGCGUGAUCAAGACUAGCCAGUGGUUGCAGUCCCAUGGGUAGCUCUGAGUGGCUUGCUCCAACAAAGCUUCAAGAUCAACUGAGGUCUUGUGAAUCCCUUCUUCCCAUCCCCAUGCCCAAGCUCUUUGGUCGAAAGGGCUCAUUCCUGGUGCAAAUGAUGAGCACUUCAUUGUUUUUCUCUGCCUUCCCAUUUGCUGAAACCUCCACCUUUGGGCAGGCAUGAUAGUGCAGGAGGCACUCUACUCCUCUGGUGCAGUGGCAGACCUUGGGCUCUCAGAUUUCAGUGGCACCCUGUGUGGCGCCAAAAUUCAGCACCUCUCACCUUCAAUUUUACAUUACAGUUGCAGCACCUCCAAGUGUCUGCGUCCAGUGUGACCAAACCAGUCACACUUUCCUAAAUCCACCUCUGUCUGGUGAGCCAGGCUUCUUUAGAGGCAGCAUCUGUGAAGGUCCUCUGCAGGCUCCAGGCCACUGGUUUUAAGUCACAAGGGCUCUGAACCAUCAGUCUCAGAGCAUUCUGAGCUCUGUGAACUACAUACUAGAAUCGGGAGACUGGCUCAGUUCCCCAGCUGAACUCUCUUCCUUCUCCAAGCUUGAGGCCCGUGCUAUGACAGGAGGUCUUCUGCCUCUCAGUGAUGCUUGUGAAGCACUGAUGAGCAUUACACUGGGCAGAUGUGGGUCCUGUUUUCAAUGCAGUGGAUUUUUCCCCCUUUGAAAGGCUUUGAGGUGUCACUUGCAAUCAUGUGUAAGCUGGUGCCAGUAGCCUGUGAGUAUUGUACCAAAUGUAAAAGUACAAGCUAUUCUGAAUAAUGUAUUAUUUAUUGUGCAUUAAGUUAUUAAUAGAGCUAGCAGUCUAACAUUGCUGAGGACAAACUUCAGUUGGGGGGCUAAAUAUUACUAUAAAAUGUAGGAGUUGCCAGGUUAAUGUUUGCUUUCGGUUUCAAGCCAUUCCUAACCCUCACCCCACAACAAGCUGAAUGCAUGUUCUUUUUUUUCUUUUUCUUUUUUUUUUGCAAGAUUCUUUUCUCAGUUCUUUUGGGAAAUAAAGAGGGGGAAAUCAACAUUCACAUGCUGUAUUUAUUCCUGGCAAAGACUGCUUUUCUGUGGAUGGGUUCUCAAGGUUGGUGUAAUAACAUUUAUUUAUUUAUUUAUUAGUAUUAUUACUUUAAACAGAAAUACAAUCCCUUUCAUCAUAAUGGCAAAGACUGUGACCUGUGAGCUUCCUCAUUGCUAUCCAGCUGCUGUAGGUGGGCAUCUUAAAGCUGUCCCACCCCACUCCACCCCACCCCACCCCACUCUCCCUUCUUAGAAUUUUUUUCUUAAGCUUUAAGUCAAACAUGAACUGGACAGCCCUUCAGAUAGAGGACUCACUUAUCUGAUGGCAUGUCUCCCAUCCACAUCUGCAGGCUACAUCAAGCUAACGUUUUCAUUUGUGUGGAGAGAAAAAGAUUUGAUUACAC